CGGGGCCGCGGGGCUUUCCGGGACCCGGGCGAGGGCGCCACUUCUGCGGCCUGGAAGAGCGAGCCCACGCGCCGACGGUGCAGGGAGGCGUCCCAGAGGAAAACAAAAAGCUCUUUCUCCUGACUCACCAAAAACUAAAAUACUGACUACUAUCACUGUGAUGAGAUUCCUAGUCUCAGGAACUGAAGUCUUUAAACAACCAGGGGACCCUCUGCCCCUAGAGUAAGAACAUAUUAGAAGUCCCCUGUGCUAGCACAAGGAGGUGCUGGCGACAUGGUGAACCAAAGAGAACCAAACAAUACCUGGCCUCCAGAACGAAAUACUGAUUCACAAAACAGGCCACCGGUGGGCUUUUAAACCACAAACCAGUGAGCUUGACAGCAACUGUGCACCAACUUCUAGAGGAGAUUUAGUAGGUGGUCUGCAGCUCUGUGGAACCAUCCGGGGAUCCCUGUCUCACAGCCUGUGUUUCUGAAUGGCAAGUCACAGAGGACUCAGCCUGUUUCCAACCUGACAGGGUUACCCUUACCCUUUUCUAGAAACUCUAGGAAUUUGGCAGGGCAUUUGACAGUCUCUCAGGGGAUCCCCAACCCCCACCCAUUGCUAAUCGAACAAAGACUGCACAUAAAAGUACACCGUAAAAGGGAAAUUUAGGCUACACUUAAUAGACGUGCUUCGUAUUAUGGAAUCAUAAAGACCUAGAGAGGCAAACAGACCUAAUGAGACCACCGAGCGUCAGUAAAUAAAUCAACCAUUCUGCAGGGCACAGAAGCCUCAUGUGCUGAUUCUCUGAGCCCUCUUUAGAGAACAGUAGUCAGUUGUCAGGCUUUUACCCUGCCGUGUUAAUCCCCGAUGCUAAUGACUGUUGCUGCUCAGGCGUGUGAUGGGUCUGAGGACGUGGGUAGGAGCUCGCUUUCCAUUUUGCUCGCAUGAACGGACUGCCUGUUCCUGGCGGCGGAGUGCAUUUUGCACUCACGUUUGUACAAGUGAGCUGCCCUCCCUCUCUGACCGCGUUAGCCUGAGUGUGAGCUGCCUGGGGCCCAAUCACACCUGCCUGACCCCAGCUUCCCCUCCCAGGGGUGCUGCUGGGUGCUGCCGCCCCCACCCGGACUACGGCAGAGCCCUCGUCUCGGGCGCCGCUCCUGACACGGUGUCCCGCCGGCGGAUGACAGGUAGAGGGCAGCAGCGCGCUCCGGGUCGGGAGCUGGGCCUCCGUCAUCCAGAAACCCACUGCAGGUCCGCUGCGGAGAGGGCCGGGGCCAGGUGGGCUGGAGGCGAGGGCAGCCCGGUGCAGGGGGGGAUCACUCUGCAAGAGGAAGAGAAAGAGGAGACGUGGAGAAGUCGCGCAGAGCACACGGCGUAUUGGACUCUGCACACUGGUCUGGGCCCCAGUGUGCCUGGCGCGUGGUUUCUGCGAGUGGAGCCCAGACGUCAGGUGUAGCCGUGCAGGAGGCUGGCAGAUGGGCUGGAGGAGCAAGGAGGCACCGCGGUUGGAGGUGUCGAAAGAGGGUUUGAAGAGAAAGCCCGGCGGGCCUGGAAUGGUGGGGAGGCAUGAGGAGGCUGACAUCAUGAAAGGCAGGGACGGCUUCAGGGCACUCUCAAGGCCAUCAGAGAAUGGUGCCGAGAAGUGAGCACGCACAAGAGCUGGAGGGGGCGGCCGUGCGGAGGGUCGGAGAGAAGGCCCUCCGGUCAGCGGUAGAGGGACAUGACAGCAAGUUGUCCACGUUCUUGGAGUUUUGAACAAAGAAUUGGACAAACCGCCCAGCAAAGCAAAGAGAGUGAAGCAACAAAAGAACAAAACCAGGGAUUUAUUGAAGACGAAAGUACCCUCCGCAGUGUUGGGGCAGACCUGAGCAGCGGCUCAGGGGCCCAGACAUAGAAUCUUCUUGGGUCCAAAUACCCCCAGAGGUUUCUCAUUGGCCACUUCAUGCUCACCUUAGGUGAAUGAAGUGGUGGCCUGCAAUCAGGCUGAUUGGUUGCAGAAAGCAGCAGACCAGAGGCUGAACUGAAGUUACAAAGGCUGCGCUCCUGUGCAAAUAUCUGAUUGGUUGCAAAAAGCAAAUAUCUGAUGGCUUGCAAAAGGCAACCAAUCAGAAGCUAGGAGAAAGUUACAAAGUUUUAUUUCUUUGCAAAUGAAGACUCCUCCGGCAAUCAGUCUCAUUGGUUGUGGACAACAGCCAUUCAGAGGCUGGAGUGAAGUUGCAAAGUUGCAAAGGAAGACACCUGCAAUCAGUCUGAUUAGUUGUAGACAGCCAAUUUCCCAUCUACUGUGCAGAAAAUGUCAAAGGGAGUAGCCUUUGGUCCUCUUGUUACUUAGGCGUGGAAAGUGAGGGUUUUCCUUUCUAUUUAGUUGUAGGAAGUCAGCGUGAAACAGCCUUAGGUUCCCUGCCUCCACACCCUUUUCUCCUGCCUCACUUCCCACAUCGUUCCACUGUCAGGAAUAACCGGCUCUGGGGGUAAGGUGGACCUCCAGGUGAAGAUGAAGGUAGAAAGGGAGGAGAGGCUGAGAGGCUGAUCUGCCACGGGGACCCAGGGCCAAAGCCCUUUGUGAUUGAGGGGAAGUGACCACAGAUCAGCAGAGGAUGACUGAGAGACGCGCUGGAGCAGGACCGUGGCCCUGAACAACACAUCAGCCAUGCCCAGAGAUGCCAGGCUUAGAGGUUAACAUGCAGUACACAGAGCUGCGUGGCCUUAAGUUACUUAACUUCUCCGGCUUCAGUUUCCUCAUCCGUAAAAUGGUUACCUAAAGUCAUGGUAUCCAGUAAUAGUACCUACAAAAGACUGAGAGGAUGAGGGAAGGGAGGGAGCUCCCAGCUGUGUGGGGAGGAGCAUACAGGCGGGGGUAACCCACCAUAUGGCAUUACAGGGAUUGGUGUCUAUUUCUGUCCUCCCUCCAGUCUCUAGCCUCAUGGUUCUCAGGCAUAGGUAUGCAUCAGAAUGACCCAGAUGCAUUAAAAAAACACUGCCAGGCCCCAGCCCCCAGAGCUUCUGAUUCAGUGGGGCUGAGGUAAGGCGCAGUAAUUUGCAUUGCUCGCUAAGCCCAGGUGCUGCUGCUCCUGCUGCUGCUGCUGGUUCUGGGACUGCACUGUGGGCACCACUGCUCUGGAGUCUCUACAGCCCCAGCAGGGACUCUUGUUGAGGAAUGACGGGCACGUAGUGGGAACCAGGCCUCGGACGAGUAACACUAAGACAAAUUUCCAGAUACAGCACAAGAAGAGGUAGUGCCGAAUGAAAAGGCGAUCACUCCAGCAGAGCCUUAAAGUCUUAGUGGUUUAUGAAGGAAGUUAGAAUUGCACCUGGGGAGCAAGUGCUGAGGUUAACGGCAGUGCAAUCCCGCAUCCGUUUUAUUGGAACUGUUGUCAGAGGCAGAAUGCUGGGCUGGAGGGGUGGCUCUAGCAAUGUUUUGAACUUGACAAUGCCCAUUUGUUGGGCAUGGUUCCAGUGGGAUGCUGUAUUGUGCAUCUAGAGAAUGUAUUUGUCCUGGAAGAGUUCACUUUGUCCACUGCCCUCGAGCCUUUAUCCAAGGCUAAACCCGCAUUCUGUACUCACAUUUGGAAUUGGUCCAGGAUUUUUAUACCUGUGUGAAUUUGGAGAAACUCUCCUAGACACCCAUUUGGAAAUGAAUUCAUGUUUUUCUCAGACAGUGAGUCCCCCAUGCUUGCUGUUCCAAUGGCCCUCCAGGUUUGGGCCCCUCACCUGCCAGGAGAGGUGUUCCUUCUGUAGCUCCACCUGACCACAGCCAGCCCAAGCCCCACGCAGAACCCGGGCCUGCCAACAAGCCUGUGACUGGUGUUAUCUGUUAGGCAUCAAGCAUUAACUUGGCACAGGAGCAGCCCUGGCUCAGCUGGAGGCACCCACAGUGUGUGGGCGCUCCAGGAGCAGAGGCACCCCCGAAAUGCAGGCUGUGUUUGCUGCAGAGAUACCAUGGCCCAUAACUCCCCAAGUGAAGGUGAGCAGCCCUGCUGUCCAGGCAAUUAAGUCAAGAAAGAGAACCGGCCCAGCUAAUGGCUCGGAUUAAAGCUAAAUGAAUUCCGCUCAAAUGAAAGGGAUACUGACCCUUCUCCCUCUGGCCUCAUUAUCUUAAUUAACAGUGCUUGGCAGGAGUCUUGAGGCCUGCAUUGAUUGUGCUGUUUCUGUUUUUCCCCCUCAAAGCCCUAGAUACACAUUAAAUCAGCCUUAAUAAUGAAAUCCCAAUACUCAACAGCCCUCAGAUUUUCUCACCAGCCCUUCUUCCUCUAAGAGAAUCACCUGGUUUCCGAGCUGGAGGGGGUCCAUUAGGCCAGCACUUCUCAAAGCAUGGCCUGAGACCACGAGCAUCAAAGUCACUGGGAUACGGCUCUAGCAUGCACUUUCCAAGCCUCGGAGUCCUGUGGAACUGGAAUAUUGGUAAGUCAGGUUUGGGUAUCUGUAGUGAGUUUUUUGGGUUUAAUUUAGUGUUUUAAAUUGUGGUAACAUGGACAUAAAAUAUAUACCUCAUAUAAGUGGAUUCAUACAAUACGUGUUCUUUUGCAACUGGCGUAUUUCACUCAGCAUGAUGUCUUCAAAGUUCAUCCACCUUGUACCAUGUAUCAGAAUUCCGUUCCUUUUUAAGGCUGAAAAAUAUCCCAUUAUAAAGACAACAGAUUCUCUUCAUUUAUUCAUUCAUUGGUGGACAUUUGGGUUGUUUCCACCCUUUGGCUAUAGUGACACUAUUAUGAAUAUUGGUGUGCAAAUAUCUGUUGAGUUUCUGCUUUCAAUUCUUUUGGGUAUACACCCAGAAGCAGAAUUGCUGGGUCAUGCGGCAGUUAGUUCUGUGUUGCAUUUUUUGAGUCAGUACCAUUUUUAAGCAGCGCACGUGGUUCUUAGGUGCAGUCAGAGUUGCAGCUAGAAGAGCAGGUGAUCAGAUUGUCUGCUGGUGGAAUCACCUGAAGACUCUGAACAACCCCGGAUGCCCAAGCCACACCCCACACCAACUAAAUCAGCUUUUCUCAGUGGGACCCAGACAUUUGUAUUUUUUAAAGGUCCUCUGGUGAUUCCAGUGUGUGGCCAAGGUUGAGAACCAUUAGUUUCCAUAGGUGAUUCUCAAAUUUUAGUGUGUAUAAAAUUCACACAAUGGCUAGGGAUACAGAUUCCUGAGAGAGCACCCCCCCACCUGCAAACCCAAGAGGCUCAUUUAAUGCGUCUGUGGUCAGCCUGGGCUUCCUGGGUCCGAAGACUUCCCAGGUGAUUCUAAUGUGUAGCCAAGGCUGAGAGCUACUAAUCUUGUUUAGUCUUUCAAUGAAACAUGAGAACACUGAGUCUGUGAGAGGUGACACACUCUGCCCAAGUCCUUGAGCUCAUUAGGGCCUGAGUCUGCACUCAGGCCCAGGGCUGAUUUUCAAGACAGUCCCACGGGUUCUCCAUACUCUGCCUCACAGGUGCCGGGGGUAGAAUCUUAUAUAGAACCCGCAUCUUUUCUACUCUUAAUUUGAACUGUAAUACUUGAAUUAGAGUACUGUUGAUGCUGCUGUAAGGCUUGUGUUGGAAUUUAAAUUUGUUUCUAACAUGAUUGAUGUUUUAGGGAACAAUAUUAACGUGUUAGGGAAAUUAUUGAUAUGCUAGAGAAUAAUAUUAACAUAUUCAAGAAUGUGAA